CAGCCGCCGCGGUAAUACGAAGGGGGCUAGCGUUGUUCGGAAUCACUGGGCGUAAAGGGUGCGUAGGCGGAUUUUUAAGUCAGGGGUGAAAUCCCGAGGCUCAACCUCGGAACUGCCUUUGAUACUGGGGAUCUUGAGUCCGGAAGAGGUGAGUGGAACUGCGAGUGUAGAGGUGAAAUUCGUAGAUAUUCGCAAGAACACCGGUGGCGAAGGCGGCUCACUGGUCCGGAACUGACGCUGAGGCACGACAGCGUGGGGAGCAAACAGGAUUAGAUACCCCAGUAGUCCCUGUCUCUUAUAC
rnacentral:rRNA from 1 species